rnacentral:rRNA from 1 species
GACGAACGCUGGCGGCGUGCUUAACACAUGCAAGUCGAACGGAAAGGCCCCUUUGGGGGUACUCGAGUGGCGAACGGGUGAGUAACACGUGAGUAACCUGCCCUUGACUUCGGGAUAACUUCAGGAAACUGGGGCUAAUACCGGAUAGGAAUCCUUGCUGCAUGGUGGGGGUUGGAAAGCUUCGGCGGUUUUGGAUGGACUCGCGGCUUAUCAGCUUGUUGGUGGGGUAGUGGCUUACCAAGGCUUUGACGGGUAGCCGGCCUGAGAGGGCGACCGGCCACAUUGGGACUGAGAUACGGCCCAGACUCCUACGGGAGGCAGCAGUGGGGAAUAUUGCACAAUGGGCGGAAGCCUGAUGCAGCAACGCCGCGUGCGGGAUGACGGCCUUCGGGUUGUAAACCGCUUUCAGCGGGGGCGAAGCUUGUGGUGACGGUACCUGCAGAAGAAGCACCGGCUAACUACGUG